AUAGGAGACACAGACACACACACACCGUAAGCUCCCUACAAGACAGUAAACACAAAAAUAUGAGUGAAAAAUGAAACUAGAGGAAUAUUAAUCAACAUUUUAUUAAGCCCCUACAGACCCACCUAUGGCAUACAGCGUCAGUCCAGAGUACAGCCCCAGGUUGGUCUUGCUAGCCCCGAUGAGGAUGAAAGCAGGAGUCAUCGUCAUUAACCACUGUGGAUGGUGAGGGUGGUAGAGGAGGCAGUGGUGGGUUUAAUAAUAGUGUUACUGAUAAAUCCUGUUGUUUUAUAUUGUAAUUCUACACAGUAAAAAUAUAGAUUUGAAAAUAUACUUUGUAAACCUCAGUAACUUCCACUACAGCCCAUUAAACUAGAACCAUGAAAA